UACGAGGGGCCCAAGCGUUAUUCGGAAUUACUGGGCUUAAAGAGUUCGUAGGCGGCGCAGAAAGUAGGGUGUGAAAGCCCUCGGCUCAACCGAGGAAUUGCGCUCUAAACUACUGUGCUUGAGGAAGCUAGAGGUGAGCGGAACUGAUGGUGGAGCGGUGAAAUGCGUUGAUAUCAGCAGGAACACCGGAGGCGAAGGCGGCUCACUGGGGCUUUUCUGACGCUGAGGAACGAAAGCCAGGGGAGCGAACGGG
rnacentral:rRNA from 1 species